GAGUUUGAUCCUGGCUCAGAUUGAACGCUGGCGGCAUGCCUUACACAUGCAAGUCGAACGGCAGCACGGGAGCUUGCUCCUGGUGGCGAGUGGCGAACGGGUGAGUAAUGCAUCGGAACGUAUCCUGGAGUGGGGGAUAACGUAGCGAAAGUUACGCUAAUACCGCAUAUUCUGCGAGCAGGAAAGCGGGGGACCUUCGGGCCUCGCGCUCUUGGAGCGGCCGAUGUCGGAUUAGCUAGUUGGUGAGGUAAAGGCUCACCAAGGCGACGAUCCGUAGCAGGUCUGAGAGGAUGAUCUGCCACACUGGAACUGAGACACGGUCCAGACUCCUACGGGAGGCAGCAGUGGGAAUUUUGGACAAUGGGGGCAACCCUGAUCCAGCCAUGCCGCGUGAGUGAAGAAGGCCUGGUUCGUAA
rnacentral:rRNA from 1 species